UCGGACGUCGUGCACGGUGCACACCCGCUCCCUAUAAAGUUCUUUUCGUCGCUGGACUGCGGGAUUCCUGGGUUCGACUCCCAGCGUCCGAA